UGGGGUGUGGCGCAGCGGUAGCGCAGUUGACUGUUAAUCAAUUGGUCAGGGGUUCGAAUCCCCUCACCCCAGCCA
rnacentral:tRNA from 1 species